AGACUGACUAUAUAUUACUCUUUUGUUAUGUCAAACUUUAACCAUUGUACUCUGACUUGGCACUUUACCAAUGAAUCUAAUACUAGAAAGAUAGAGAAAAUACAGCAAUAAGCUCUGAGAUUCAUAUAUGAUGAUUUCUGUAGCAGCUAUGAUGAAUUACUUGAAAAAUCUGGUGUUAUCUCACUGAAAGUUAGAAGGUUAAGAUCUAUUGCCUUCGAAACAUAUAAAAUCCUUAAUAAAAUGUCCCCAGAGUAUCUAUCCCGGUGUGACCCAAAUUCGACGAUAUAACGGAUACAUAAAGCAAUAUUUAGCAAAUAAUAAAAAAACUUAUAUAGCUAAAAAUAAUAAUUUUUAACUCGGCUGUUAUUCUUUGAAAUGAUUCCAAGACAAUAAUCGUCCAUUUAAAUUUAAACCGAUAAAAAUAGAACAUCGUCGAAUUUAGGUGUCGUCGAAUUUGGGUUACGGUAAGAUACAUGAUUUACUGCAUCUAAAAAAUGUUAAUUAUAAUUUUAGGCACUUAAAUACUGUUGAGAUACCCCUACCAAGGACAGAAAGAUAUGAGCCGGGACCUUGCGUCCGCCUGCCCAAUAUUUGGAGGUUAUCUACGCCCCUAGAUCUACUAGAUCUAAUAACAUAUUAUUAUGUAUGGAUGCCUCAGUAAAUGUAUCUUAUGCUCACA